AGUCGAGCGGACCUCUUCGGAGGUCAGCGGCGGACGGGUGAGUAACACGUGGGCAACCUGCCUGUAAGACUGGGAUAACUCCGGGAAACCGGAGCUAAUACCGGAUAGUAUCUUGAACCGCAUGGUUCAAGUUGGAAAGACGGUUUCGGCUGUCACUUACAGAUGGGCCCGCGGCGCAUUAGCUAGUUGGUGAGGUAAUGGCUCACCAAGGCAACGAUGCGUAGCCGACCUGAGAGGGUGAUCGGCCACACUGGGACUGAGACACGGCCCAGACUCCUACGGGAGGCAGCAGUAGGGAAUCUUCCGCAAUGGACGAAAGUCUGACGGAGCAACGCCGCGUGAGUGAUGAAGGUUUUCGGAUCGUAAAACUCUGUUGUUAGGGAAGAACAAGUGCGAGAGUAACUGCUCGCACCUUGACGGUACCUAACCAGAAAGCCACGGCUAACUACGUGCCAGCAGCCGCGGUAAUACGUAGGUGGCAAGCGUUGUCCGGAAUUAUUGGGC
rnacentral:rRNA from 1 species